GAGCGCUCUUUGGCCUGAAGAGAGCGCGGCGCACAGCUCAGUAGCACGUGGCUAACCUGCCCUUGGGACGGGAACACCCCCGGGAAACUGGGGCUAAUUCCAGAUAGGUGAAGAACUCUGGAAUGAGUCUUCGCCCAAAAGACGCUUACGUCAUGCUCGUAGGCGCCGCCCAAGGAUGGGGCCGCGGCCGAUCAGGUUGUUGGUGAGGUAACGGCUCACCAAGCCUAUAACCGGUGCGGGCCGUGGGAGCGGGAGCCCGGAGAUGGGCACUGAGACAAGGGCCCAGGCCCUACGGGGCGCAGCAGUCGCGAAAACUUUGCAAUAAGCGAAAGCUUGACAGGGCUAUCCCGAGUGCCGUCCGCUGAGGAUGGCUUUUACCCAGUCUAGAAAGCUGGGGGAAUAAGGAGAGGG
rnacentral:rRNA from 1 species